rnacentral:rRNA from 1 species
UCGAACGGAACUACUCCGAUGAGAAUCUUCGGAAAGGAUUUGGUUUAGUUUAGUGGCGGACGGGUGAGUAACGCGUGGGUAACCUGCCCUAUACAGGGGGAUAACAGUUGGAAACGACUGUUAAUACCGCAUAAGCGCACAGGAGCGCAUGCUCCGGUGUGAAAAACUCCGGUGGUAUAGGAUGGACCCGCGUCUGAUUAGCUGGUUGGCGGGGUAACGGCCCACCAAGGCGACGAUCAGUAGCCGGCCUGAGAGGGUGAACGGCCACAUUGGGACUGAGACACGGCCCAAACUCCUACCGGAGGCAGCAGUGGGGAAUAUUGCACAAUGGGGGAAACCCUGAUGCAGCGACCCCGCAUGAGCGAAGAAUUUUUCUCCCCCCCAAAAACUCUAUCAGCAGGGAAGAAAAUGACAAAAAAAAACUUUUUUGCCCCGGCUAAGGGGGGGCCAAAAACCGCGGUAAUACGUAGGGGGCAAGCGUUAUCCGGAUUUACUGGGUGUAAAGGGAGCGCACCUCCCCCGCCNNNUCCCCCGUGAAAGCCCGGGGCUCAACCCCGGGACUGCCCCCCCAACUGUCGUGCUGGAGUGUCGGAGGGGCAAGUGGAAUUCCUAGUGUAGCGGUGAAAUGCGUAGAUUUUUUGGAAAACACCAGUGGCGAAGGCGGCUUGCUGGACGACAACUGACGCUGAGG